rnacentral:rRNA from 1 species
UACGUAGGGACCAAGCGUUGUUCGGAUUUACUGGGCGUAAAGGGCGCGUAGGCGGCAUGACAAGUCACUUGUGAAAUCUCCGGGCUUAACUCGGAACGGUCAAGUGAUACUGUCGCGCUAGAGUGCGGAAGGGGCAAUCAGAAUUCUUGGUGUAGCGGUGAAAUGCGUAGAUAUCAAGAGGAAUACCGGAGGUGAAGACGGGUUGCUAGGCCGACACUGACGCUGAAGCGCGAAAGCCAGGGGAGCAAACGGG